rnacentral:rRNA from 1 species
UAGGGAAUCUUCGGCAAUGGACGAAAGUCUGACCGAGCAACGCCGCGUGAGUGAAGAAGGUUUUCGGAUCGUAAAACUCUGUUGUUAGAGAAGAACAAGGACGUUAGUAACUGAACGUCCCCUGACGGUAUCUAACCAGAAAGCCACGGCUAACUACGUGCCAGCAGCCGCGGUAAUACGUAGGUGGCAAGCGUUUUCCGGAUUUAUUGGGCGUAAAGCGAGCGCAGGCGGUUUCUUAAGUCUGAUGUGAAAGCCCCCGGCUCAACCGGGGAAGGUCAUUGGAAACUGGGAGACUUGAGUGCAGAAGAGGAGAGUGGAAUUCCAUGUGUAGCGGUGAAAUGCGUAGAUAUAUGGAGGAACACCAGUGGCGAAGGCGGCUCUCUGGUCUGUAACUGACGCUGAGGCUCGAAAGCGUGGGGAGCAAACAGG